ACGCUGGCGGCAGGCCUAACACAUGCAAGUCGAGCGGUAGAGAGAAGCUUGCUUCUCUUGAGAGCGGCGGACGGGUGAGUAAUGCCUAGGAAUCUGCCUGGUAGUGGGGGAUAACGUUCGGAAACGGACGCUAAUACCGCAUACGUCCUACGGGAGAAAGCAGGGGACCUUCGGGCCCUUGCGCUAUCAGAUGAGCCUAGGUCGGAUUAGCUAGUUGGUGAGGUAAUGGCUCACCAAGGCGACGAUCCGUAACUGGUCUGAGAGGAUGAUCAGUCACACUGGAACUGAGACACGGUCCAGGCUCCUACGGGAGGCAGCAGUGGGGAAUAUUGGACAAUGGGCGAAAGCCUGAUCCAGCCAUGCCGCGUGUGUGAAGAAGGUCUUCGGAUUGUAAAGCACUUUAAGUUGGGAGGAAGGGCAGUUGCCUAAUACGUAACUGUUUUGACGUUACCGACAGAAUAAGCACCGGCUAACUCUGUGCCAGCAGCCGCGGUAAUACAGAGGGUGCAAGCGUUAAUCGGAAUUACUGGGCGUAAAGCGCGCGUAGGUGGUUUGUUAAGUUGGAUGUGAAAUCCCCGGGCUCAACCUGGGAACUGCAUUCAAAACUGACUGACUAGAGUAUGGUAGAGGGUGGUGGAAUUUCCUGUGUAGCGGUGAAAUGCGUAGAUAUAGGAAGGAACACCAGUGGCGAAGGCGACCACCUGGACUGAUACUGACACUGAGGUGCGAAAGCGUGGGGAGCAAAC
rnacentral:rRNA from 1 species